rnacentral:piRNA from 1 species
AUAAUGUGCUUGUGAAGUUGGU